CCAACCUUCUAGCGUUAAUCAUUAUGGUACCCGUACCGCAAACCGACACAGGUAGUCAAGGAGAGAAUCCUGAGGUGCUCGAGUGAAUCAUGGCUAAGGAACUCGGCAAAUUAACCCUGUAACUUCGGGAAAAGGGGUGCCCUCAGCAAUGAGGGUCGCAGAGAAAUGGCCCAGGCGACUGUUUAACAAAAACACAUGGCUAUGCGAAAUCGAAAGAUGAAGUAUAUGGCCUGACACCUGCCCGGUGCUGGAAGGUUAAGGGGGGACGUUAGUCGCAAGACAAAGCGUUGAACUGAAGCCCCAGUAAACGGCGGCCGUAACUAUAACGGUCCUAAGGUAGCGAAAUUCCUUGUCGGGUAAGUUCCGACCUGCACGAAUGGUGUAACGAUCUGGGCGCUGUCCCAGCCAUGAGCUCGGUGAAAUUGUAGUCACGGUGAAGAUGCCGUGUACCCGCAACGGGACGGAAAGACCCCAUGCACCUUUACUAUAGCUUCACAUUGACAUUGGGUAAAUGAUGUGUAGGAUAGGUGGGAGGCAUUGAUCCCGGGCCGCUAGGUUCGGGGGAGUCAACGGUGAAAUACCACCCUUUAUUUUCUUGAUGUCUAACCUCUAACAAGGGACAGUGUGUGGUGGGUAGUUUGACUGGGGUGGUCGCCUCCGAAAGUGUAUCGGAGGCUUUCAAAGGUAUGCUCAGUACGCUUGGUAACCGUACGUGGAGUGCAAUAGCAUAAGCAUGCUUGACUGUGAGACCGACGGGUCGAGCAGGGACGAAAGUUGGAUAUAGUGAUCCGGUGGUUCUGUAUGGAAGGGCCAUCGCUCAAAGGAUAAAAGGUACGCUGGGAUAACAGGCUGAUCUCCCCCAAGAGCUCACAUCGACGGGGAGGUUUGGCACCUCGAUGUCGGCUCGUCACAUCCUGGGGCUGGAGAAGGUCCCAAGGGUUGGGCUGUUCGCCCAUUAAAGUGGCACGCGAGCUGGGUUCAGAACGUCGUGAGACAGUUCGGUCCCUAUCUGUUGUGGGCGUAGGAAGUUUGAGAGGAUCUGACCUUAGUACGAGAGGACCGGGUUGGACUAACCGCUGGUGUACCAGUUGUGGCGUCAGCUGCACCGCUGGGUAGCUAUGUUGGGACGGGAUAAGCGCUGAAAGCAUCUAAGCGCGAAACCCACCUCAAGAUGAGAUUUCCAUUAAGGGACGUCAGAGAUUAUGACGUUGAUAGGCUGCAGGUGUAAAGUCAGUAAUGGCAAAGCUGAGCAGUACUAAUAACCCAAAAA
rnacentral:rRNA from 1 species